UCUAGUUUUGUUUUUGAAAUUUAUAGGAAGAUCUAGCUUGCAAUUAUCAAAGGGAAGCAAAAGGUAAUUAUUUUCUGAAAUUUUGGGGUUUUUCUUCCUUAUUUUCUCUCUCCUCUUUGUUCACGAUUUCCGGCCACCACGGUGGUGGUUCGCCGGCGAGAUCGUCGAGUUUCGACGGGACCACUGCCGGCCAGCAGUAGGUGACCAGCGACUGGACGAGCGCCGCUGCCACCGUCGCGUCAGUGGUGGUGCGGGUGGUGCUUGUGGUGGCGCCGGUUGGGUUUCAAGAAUAAUUAAAGCCAGUCAAACUUUUGACUGUUGAUUUUUGUGUAAUCAAGAGUUUAGAGAAGAAGUUGCAGGUACAAGUUCUUGAUGUGCAUGGAAAUCAUAAGCAUCCGGAUGGGAAUUUUCAGUGCACGAGUACUUUAUUAUUUAAGUUAUCUUAAAUUUUAUAUUUGACUUUACUUGACCAAUGGGGUCAAGGUUUGACUUUUGAAAUGGGACUAGUAUGGGAUAGUCUCGGAGUUUGUAAUUCAUUUACAUGCUUUCUUAUUUCCGUUGUAUUAAAGUAUUUCCAGUUUAUUUUAAAA